CUUGCUGGCCCUGUUUCAAUGUCUUGGUCCUGCUGGCUCUGUUCAAGGAUUUCCCAAACAGGUACAGGUGACAUGCCUCCUCCAAGGACGUAGAUUGGGAGGACUUAGGAGUUGGAGACUUGUUUUGUUACUUUUGUGUUUAAAUGUUAAUCCAAGCCUAGAGCUUUAAAUGUAUAGAGCUUAUGACUCUCUUUUGUUUUUAACCAAGUAUUAUCUUGGAAAGAUGUAAGGCUGUAGGGCAUUUCUUUUGUUGUCAUCAACUUGUAUUACAUGCCGUGGAUUCAGAAUGAAUGUUUAUGAAUGUAUAACGCAUGUGAUUCCCUUUGUAACACAAAUUCUAAUUUAUGAAAGUAUACCAAUUAUGUUA